UUGCUUGUGCUACAGGAAACCUGACUGGAGUGCGAAAGAUGAGGAGGUGCAUGAGUGCAGUGGUGGUUCAGUAACAGAGCCAGUCCACCUGAUCCCCCAAAAAGGGGAAUCCCAAGGAUAAGGACCAGAGCCUUGAGGGAGAGAAGGCCCUUGAGGAGCAUGGUUGAGUGUCUUCUUGUUCCCAGGUGACCACAGGAAGGUCCUAAAACUGAGGACAGAGCCACCAGAGCUUACCAGAGCCCAGAAUUUAUAUUACUAGUCAUUAGAAGGAUGAAUGUUCCAGUCUGCUGAAGAUUUUGAAAUCUGAUGCUUCUGAAGAGGAAUAAACUUGAAUGUUUUAAAGCAUUACAAAGAAGGACUUCGGAAAAAAUACUUUAGGUAAAAUACUUUUGGAGGGAGCUGUGAAGUUUGGUGCUAUGCACUGAUAUGGACCUCCCAGGCAAAAGCUGAAGCUCCUCCUGCACUGGCUUAUGCUGCCCUGGCUGAUGGAGCUUGUUUCUUGGCUGACAUAUCCAGCAGGAAAUCUGCCCACUUACACUUUAGAGGUAUUGAUGGUGUCUUAUCUGUCAAAUCAGAUUCAAGAUCAGAAUGUACCAGUACAAUAAUCUAAACUGGCUUUUUCUAUAACACAAGUCAAAGAAACUCAGAUACUCUUUCCUUAUGAACCCCCAAGCAUCUGUUGUAUCCACAAGAUAUUUUUUUUAUUCAGAAAAAAAUUAAAUUAAGGAUCACACAUUAUGAAGAAUACAUCAGAGCACUUGUUAAUUUGUUCUGUAGUUAAUCCUCCUAAUGCUUAAAAAUGUGCCUUAUUUAUAGAUGGAAUUUAUCUAGCUCCUGGAUAUCAGCAUGCUUUUUAACUUCUGGAGUAUAGGGUAGUUGUCUACAGCAAAUCCUUUUUUCUAUAUGGGCUCUUGUAGAUCAUGGUCAACACCUUUCGGUUCCUUAAAUAAAGUUAAUAAAUAAGCUGUUUGAGCAUCUCACUAAGUUUUAUAGACAAAAUUGCUUUUGUGGCCUUCUUCUGAGCCUUUUCCCGUUUUUCAAAAUCGUUCUCCCAGUGCAUCUAUCAAGCCUAGACACACUGACUACAUCUAGAAUAGUACAUUAAACAGGAAACAUUUCUGGGAGCUUGAACUUG